AUUGAACGCUGGCGGCAGGCCUAACACAUGCAAGUCGAGCGGAUGAAGGGAGCUUGCUCCUGGAUUCAGCGGCGGACGGGUGAGUAAUGCCUAGGAAUCUGCCUGGUAGUGGGGGAUAACGUCCUGAAACGGGCGCUAAUACCGCAUACGUCCUGAGGGAGAAAGUGGGGGAUCUUCGGACCUCACGCUAUCAGAUGAGCCUAGGUCGGAUUAGCUAGUUGGUGGGGUAAAGGCCUACCAAGGCGACGAUCCGUAACUGGUCUGAGAGGAUGAUCAGUCACACGGGAACUGAGACACGGUCCAGACUCCUACGGGAGGCAGCAGUGGGGAAUAUUGGACAAUGGGCGAAAGCCUGAUCCAGCCAUGCCGCGUGUGUGAAGAAGGUCUUCGGAUUGUAAAGCACUUUAAGUUGGGAGGAAGGGCAGUAAGUUAAUACCUUGCUGUUUUGACGUUACCAACAGAAUAAGCACCGGCUAACUUCGUG
rnacentral:rRNA from 1 species